CGUAUGCAAUCUACCUUCAACUGGUGAAUAGCCCGAAGAAAUUCGGAUUAACACACCAUAGUAUAUUAGAGUGGCAUCACUUUAAUAUUAAAACUCCGGUGGUUGAAGAUGAGCAUGCGUGACAUUAGCUAGUUGGUGAGGUAAUGGCUCACCAAGGCUACGAUGUCUAGGGGAUCUGAGGGGAUUAACCCCCACACUGGUACUGAGACACGGACCAG
rnacentral:rRNA from 1 species